rnacentral:tRNA from 1 species
UAGGAAAUAGUUUAAAUCAGGGAGUAGUUUAA